rnacentral:lncRNA from 1 species
CUCUAUUCUUUCGCAAAUGGCGAAAAGACGCACUUCUUCAUCUACCAUUCAGUAGGCCAAGCCUCCAGCCACAGCUCCCACUAGGGGUAGAGGGCGAGGCCGAGGCAUGCCAGAGGCCGAGGUUGGGGAAGAGCUCAUCCCCGAGCAGCAACAUCAGUGGUGGAGCCUCAUGUUGAUUUUAAGGAGGAGGUUCCAGUCCUAGCAGUUCCACU